rnacentral:antisense_RNA from 1 species
UAUAGAGGUGGUAUAAAUCUGGAGGUUCUGCAAAGUCUUCCCAGAGGUGAAGUAUUCUGGCUAAUCUGGAACACUGGCUGGAUAAUGGAGAAGAGCAAUCUAGGCACUGUUGCCACUGGGCAGAAUGACAUGGCGGCCAUGGCCUCUUCAUAAUCUCUUGUUGUGAUCUAUUACUGGGACAGAAGGAAGGUAAAAUUCUGAGGUUUUGGAGGAAGAAGUUGGCCCAUAGAAGAAUCAUCCAGUUAGAACCCUAAGAUCAUUAUUUGGGGCAUCUAAUUAUUAAUGUGGGAUGCUUUAUAAAGUGUGUAUGGGGGUCUUAAAAGAUAAAGCCUGUGCCUUUCUCAGUGAAUUCUUAAAUUUUCCCUUCCUUCUGCAUUUUGAAUUUGCACCAAGAAAAUGGAACAACAUUGUAUGUUUCCGGCGAAGAUAAAAACAUCUGUUGAAUAUCUUGAGUCUAGAAAAUAACAUUGAGAAAAAUAGUGGUUGAGGACCAAUUCCUCAUCCUGAAGUUUACAAUAUAAUGAAAAAAAAAGGAAAUGUACAAUUUUAAUAAAAAUGCAUGCAUUGAAAUGUAUGGUACAGCAAGAGGCUUUAGAAAUUCCUGUUUCGGAGAUUUAUAUAAGGCUACCACAUCUUUCUGGAGAAUGAUGAAAUAAUGAGGCAGAAAUAAUCUGAAGAUAAUACCUGAGAAUCAAAAGGGAUAAAGUAAUCACAGUGCAUUAUUCCACUAGUUCUAAAUGUUUUCAAAUAAAAAAAAAGAUUAAAGACAGGCUUGAGAGGCAUACAAAUGAUUUCAACAAAGCCAUAAAUUUGAAAAUAUGCUAA